UACAGAGACCCCAAGCAUUAUCCGGAAUUAUUGGGCGUAAAGGGUGCGUAGGCGGUUGUAUUAGUCGUAUGUUAAAGUCCCGGGCUUAACCCGGGCUCUGCAUACGAAACGAUACAACUAGAGAAUGAGAGAGGCCGACGGAACUCACGGUGUAGGGGUGAAAUCCGUUGAUAUCGUGAGGAACACCGAAGGCGAAGGCAGUCGGCUAGCUCAUUUCUGACGCUGAGGCACGAAACCCUGGGUAGCGAAGCGG
rnacentral:misc_RNA from 1 species